GCGUUCUUUCGUAUAAUGCAUGUUUUGUGUUAUGGUUGGCUUUUAUGCGUGGUUGGGAAAAAUUGGUUCUGUAGGAAUCUAGUUACGUUAUUGUGCCAUUUGGUGAAAUGGGUUUUGUUAUGGACAUGGAUAGUAAUCGUAGCAUUAUGAUUUUAAAAGUUCUGUACUUUUGUAGUUUGCUAUGCUGUCGUGUAGCAUAAGACAUUGACAAAUGUUCGAAAACAUUCUGAUUUUGGGAAUGUAGGUUCCAUUUGUAUGGGUAUCAGAUGUAUCUUGUGCUCGAGCUUCCGAUUUUAAGAUAGGUCCCUUAAAGAAAUCUGUUUUGUGCUUGUCUUUGGGUAUUUAAGUUGUAGAAAGGUUAGAAUGUUUUUGCAGUCUGGCAUCAAUUGAGGAGCGCCACAAAUCUCCCUCAGUCUAUUCCUAAGAUAAGCGUGUAAGAAAGUAUUGGUCACUUGUUCGAUUGUACAUGGAUGUGUCUUCUCCUCUGGGGCAAUCUUUCAUUGCAUUUCCUGAUUUUUCUGAUUGGUGUUAGCUUGUGCACUUGGGGAUUAGUUUCCAAAAUCUCCUGGUGUUAGUCCAGUAGUAGCACGAGCUGAGAUAAGAGCCUCAGGAAGCAUUUGCAUUGUGUUUGAUUCUCCAUGGGUCUGUAGACUCUUGUGGGACCACCUUCCAUUGUUUGUCCUCGUUGUAGAUUGGAGUGUCUACACAUGCCUUUGGAGACUAGUCGGGUUCAAGACUAAGAUGCCCCUGAGUUAACAGAAAAAGAAAUUAGUGAGGACCACAAGCACUGGCCUAGUUCUUUUCUGGAUCCAUCCAUGAUUGGAUCCACACAAAUAGUGAUUAUACUAAUUAGUAUUAAUUACUAAACUAUCUAUUGGUUGCAAGAUGGGGUGAUUUAUAUAGGAUAAACAUGGAAAAACCAAUUAGGAUAUGAGGGAAUUUUUAUUAGAGUAAAACCGCUAAAACUAGUACAUCUGAGUCAUUUGUGUUAAAAAGUUAGCUCUUUGGACCUGUUUCUUGGACUAAGAUUCUUGAUGAUUCUGGUUGAUAUUGUAAUUUAAGGUUCUGUACCUACGGUUUGGUUAUUCAGUGUAAGUGAAGACUUGUUUUGCAUUGUAUUUGUUUUGGAGUACUGAUAAAUCAUAUGCUUAGGAGUUCUUGACAUCGGAGUUGUUUCAAUGUACCCCUUGAGUUAAUGAAUCAUAAUGGCAGUUUCAAAUAUCAAAUUAAACUGUUUAGUUGUUGGUUUAUAACUUUAUA